ACUCCUACGGGAGGCAGCAGUAAGGAAUAUUGCGCAAUGGACGAUAGUCUGACGCAGCGACGCCGCGUGGGGGAUGAAGGUCUUCGGAUUGUAAACCCCUUUCGGGAGGGAAGAUGGAGUGGGUAACCACUUGGACGGUACCUCCAGAAGCAGCCACGGCUAACUUCGUGCCAGCAGCCGCGGUAAUACGAAGGUGGCAAGCGUUGUUCGGAUUCACUGGGCGUACAGGGAGCGUAGGCGGUUGGGAAAGCCCUCCGUGAAAUCUCCGGGCCUAACCCGGAAAGUGCAGAGGGGACUGCUCAGCUAGAGGAUGGGAGAGGAGCGCGGAAUUCCCG
rnacentral:rRNA from 1 species